GGGUGGUUAGCUCAGCUGGUAGAGCAUCUCGUUUACACCGAGGGGGUCAAAGGUUCGAGUCCUUUACUACCCACCA
rnacentral:tRNA from 2 species